rnacentral:rRNA from 1 species
GCUUAACGCGAAGAACCUUACCAGGCCUUGACAUGCACUAGACCGACUCUGAAAGGAGUCUUCCCUUCGGGGCUGGUGCACAGGUGCUGCAUGGCUGUCGUCAGCUCGUGUCGUGAGAUGUUGCGUUAAGUCGCGCAACGAGCGCAACCCCUGUCCUUAGUUGCCAUCAGGUAAAGCUGGGCACUCUAGGGAGACAAACCCUCUCUGAGGGUGGGAAGGUGGGGAUGACGUCAAGUCAGGAUGGCCCUUACGGCCUGGGCUGCACACGUGCUACAAUGCCCGGUACAGAGGGACGCAAUACCGCGAGGCGGAGCAAAUCCCAAAAACCGGGCCCAGUUCAGAUUGCAGUCUGCAACUCGACUGCAUGAAGCCGGAAUCGCUAGUAAUGGCGUAUCAGCUACGACGCCGUGAAUACGUUCCCGGGUCUUGUACACACCG